CCAAGGCAAUGCCAGACUGAGUGCGCCCAGUCUCAUCAGCCCUUGAAAGCUAAGCAGGGCCAGGCCUGACUAGUACUUGGAUGGGAGAAAUAUUCAUAAAAGACACCUUUUAAAAAAUAUUGAUGUUACUUAGU
rnacentral:rRNA from 1 species